ACGGAGAAGGUUAGCUCAGCCAACUGUUGGAUAUGUUGGUUCAAGCCUGUAGUCGUGCCUGGUAGGUAAAUCCGCCGGGCUUAGAUGAGGGGUGAUAACGAGGCUGCUUGCAGCCGAAGUGAGUGAUACCCUGCUUCCAGGAAAAGCCACUAAGCUUCAGCUACACACGACCGUACCGCAAACCGACACUGGUGCGCGAGAUGAGUAUUCUAAGGCGCUUGAGAGAACUCAGGAGAAGGAACUCGGCAAAUUGACACCGUAACUUCGGAAGAAGGUGUGCCUUUAGUAGGUGAACCUGUACAAGGGGAGCCCAAUGAGGUUGCAAAAAAUCGGUGGCUGCGACUGUUUAAUAAAAACACAGCACUCUGCAAACACGAAAGUGGACGUAUAGGGUGUGACGCCUGCCCGGUGCUGGAAGAUUAAAUGAUGGGGUGCAAGCUCUUGAUUGAAGUCCCAGUAAACGGCGGCCGUAACAAUAACGGUCCUAAGGUAGCGAAAUUCCUUGUCGGGUAAGUUCCGACCUGCACGAAUGGCGUAACGAUGGCCACACUGUCUCCUCCUGAGACUCAGCGAAGUUGAAAUGUUUGUGAUGAUGCAAUCUCCCCGCGGAAAGACGGAAAGACCCCAUGAACCUUUACUGUAGCUUUGUAUUGGACUUUGAACAGAUCUGUGUAGGAUAGGUGGGAGGCUUUGAAGUGUGGUCGCUAGAUCGCAUGGAGCCAACGUUGAAAUACCACCCUGGUGUGUUUGAGGUUCUAACCUAGGCCCGUAAUCCGGGUCGGGGACAGUGCAUGGUAGGCAGUUUGACUGGGGCGGUCUCCUCCCAAAGCGUAACGGAGGAGUUCGAAGGUACGCUAGGUACGGUCGGACAUCGUGCUAAUAGUGCAAUGGCAUAAGCGUGCUUAACUGCGAGACUGACAAGUCGAGCAGAUGCGAAAGCAGGACAUAGUGAUCCGGUGGUUCUGUAUGGAAGGGCCAUCGCUCAACGGAUAAAAGGUACUCUGGGGAUAACAGGCUGAUACCGCCCAAGAGUUCAUAUCGACGGCGGUGUUUGGCACCUCGAUGUCGGCUCAUCUCAUCCUGGGGCUGUAGCCGGUCCCAAGGGUAUGGCUGUUCGCCAUUUAAAGAGGUACGUGAGCUGGGUUUAAAACGUCGUGAGACAGUUUGGUCCCUAUCUUCCGUGGGCGCUGCAGAUUUGAGGAAGCCUGCUCCUAGUACGAGAGGACCGGAGUGGACACACCUCUGGUGUAUCGGUUGUCACGCCAGUGGCAUUGCCGAGUAGCUAUGUGUGGAAGAGAUAACCGCUGAAAGCAUCUAAGCGGGAAACUCGUUUCAAGAUGAGAUCUGCCGGGGCCUUGAGCCCCCUAAAGAGUCGUUCAAGACCAGGACGUUGAUAGGUCGGGUGUGGAAGCGCAGUAAUGCGUUAAGCUAACCGAUACUAAUUGCUCGUGCGGCUUGACCAA
rnacentral:rRNA from 1 species